rnacentral:rRNA from 1 species
CUGCGAACGGCUCAUUAAAUCAGUUAUCGUUUAUUUGAUAGUACCUUACUACUUGGAUAACCGUGGUAAUUCUAGAGCUAAUACAUGCUAAAAAUCCUGACCUCUGGAAGGGAUGUAUUUAUUAGAUAAAAAACCAAUGCUCAUUUUUGGGCUUCCUGGUGAUUCAUGAUAACUUUACGAAUCGCAUGGCCUUGUGCCGGCGAUGGUUCAUUCAAAUUUCUGCCCUAUCAACUUUCGAUGGUAGGAUAGUGGCCUACCAUGGUUUCAACGGGUAACGGGGAAUUAGGGUUCGAUUCCGGAGAGGGAGCCUGAGAAACGGCUACCACAUCCAAGGAAGGCAGCAGGCGCGCAAAUUACCCAAUCCCGACACGGGGAGGUAGUGACAAUAAAUACUGAUACAGGGCCUUUUUGGGUCUUGUAAUUGGAAUGAGUACAAUUUAAAUCCUUUAACGAGGAACAAUUGGAGGGCAAGUCUGGUGCCAGCAGCCGCGGUAAUUCCAGCUCCAAUAGCGUAUAUUAAAGUUGUUGCAGUUAAAAAGCUCGUAGUUGAACCUUGGGUCUGGGUGACCGGUCUGCGUCACCGCAUGUUACUGGAACCCCGGAUCUUUCCUUCUGGAGAACCGCAUGCCCUUUACUGGGUGUGCUGGGAAACCAGGACUUUUACUUUGAAAAAAUUAGAGUGUUCAAAGCAGGCAUGUGCUCGAAUACAUUAGCAUGGAAUAAUAGAAUAGGACGUGCGGUCCUAUUUUGUUGGUUUCUAGGACCGCCGUAAUGAUUAAUAGGGAUAGUCGGGGGCAUCCGUAUUC